AAGAUCCUAUAUUCAAGAAAAAAUCAGAAGCCAAUACAAAGAACCGUGCCAUGUUACCCUAUCCGCACACUGGCGGUUCAAAAUCAAAUCAUGUUCGAGCACAAGAGAUGGUUCCACCAAGUGCAAUUGAUGCCUGGACUGCUGCUCACAUAAAAAAGGAUGGCCAAUUUGUGAAUAAU